UACGAAGGGGGCUAGCGUUGCUCGGAAUCACUGGGCGUAAAGCGCACGUAGGCGGAUCUUUAAGUCAGGGGUGAAAUCCCAAGGCUCAACCUUGGAACUGCCUUUGAUACUGGGGAUCUCGAGUCCGGAAGAGGUUGGUGGAACUGCGAGUGUAGAGGUGAAAUUCGUAGAUAUUCGCAAGAACACCAGUGGCGAAGGCGGCGACCUGGGUCGAGACUGACGCUGAGGCGCGAAAGCGUGGGGAGCAAACAGG
rnacentral:rRNA from 1 species